UACGAAGGGGGCUAGCGUUGUUCGGAAUCACUGGGCGUAAAGCGCACGUAGGCGGAUCUUUAAGUCAGGGGUGAAAUCCCCGGGGCUCAACCUCGGAACUGCCUUUGAUACUGGGGAUCUCGAGUCCGGGAGAGGUGAGUGGAACUGCGAGUGUAGAGGUGAAAUUCGUAGAUAUUCGCAAGAACACCAGUGGCGGAGGCGGCUCACUGGCCCGGAACUGACGCUGAGGUGCGAAAGCGUGGGGAGCAAACAGG
rnacentral:rRNA from 1 species